GUGUCAGCCGCCGCGGUAAGACAGAGGUGCCAAGCGUUAGGCGGAAUCACUGGGCUUAAAGCGUGUGUAGGCGGAUGCCUAAGUACCUUGUGAAAUCCCACGGCUCAACCGUGGAACUGCUUGGUAUACUGGGUGUCUUGAGCCACUUAGGGGUUACCGGAACAAACGGUGGAGCGGUGAAAUGCGUAGAUAUCGUUUGGAACGCCAAUGGUGAAAACAGGUAACUGGGAGUGCGCUGACGCUGAGACACGAAAGCCAGGGGAGCGAACGGGAUUAGAUACCCCCGUAGUCC
rnacentral:rRNA from 1 species